CCCUCUGAGGAUUAUUAAAGACAGCAUGGCUAAAAACUUCAGUAAACAACACUAAAGAAUGUUGAAACGUGUGAAUAAGACGCAGCUUGAAGAUGCUCCUGAAACUCUUCCAGUGGAUAUCUGACCUGCGACAGAGACAACGUGACCCAGCUGCAGACCACCUGAGGCCUUCAGCUCUCAGUCUGACAGUCUGAUUGUGGAGCUGUUAAACGUUCAGUUUUACAGCGUCACUGAGCUGCUGUGGAAUAAAGUUCAGUCAUAAAAACAGCCGUGGUCACAUGCUGCUGCAGCUGCAGCAGGUUAAUGAGUGCACCUGAGGAGACCUGAGGGUGGAGGGCAGCACAAACGCUGCCAGGGGGCCCAUAUGUACAGGUGUCCUCACCCUUACCUGAGGGACAUCUCUGGCUGAGAGAACUGGGAACGAGCAGCUGGAGGGCGACGCUGCGCUGCAGAGAGAGGCUGAAGAUCAUCCUGCUGCUCCUGGAAAGUGACCGGGCAGUCUCGCCAUGCGAAGUAUAGGAAUAUCCUCCAGAAGGAUGCGGAAGGCGGUAAAGCUGAAACAGUAGAGGAUGUGGACGAUCAUCUGACACUGAAAUGACAGCAGACUGCAGCAGAGGAAGGACCCGUUAUAAAUAAAGAGUACGAAAGAGAGAGAGUAAGAAUGAAGAUUCCUGAUUAAACUUUCACUUACCUUCAUAGUAGUUUUCUUUUAGGUGGCCACAUGUGGUGAGUCUAACCAAUCACAAGAAAGAAUAGAAAGGGUUUUAAAUGUAUAUAACUGUUGUUAGAGUGAUGAGUCUUUGUUUUAGUGGCUGUUUCUGUUUGUGAACCACCUUUUACCCAAAAAUAAAAUCAUACUAACUGACUUUUCUUUGUUAAAAUUAAAGUGAUUAUUUCCACUCUCUCUGUUGUUGCCCAGGGACUGAAACCAAAAACUCUGCCUUCAGAGCUACCAUAAACCAGACACACAAGCACCUGCACUGUGCUUUAAUUUACUUAUUUAAGCAGGAAAGUCUUUGCUCCGGUUUGGAGAAGUGCACGAAAAAUAUUUGAAAUGUAAAUCAGCUUUCUUUGGAUAUAGUUCUGUGACCAGGGAGAGAGUGUAACCUCGGACAAACACACAUUCAUUGGCAAGUUUUCAGGGGGGGAAAGAGGGUUGGUUUCUCUAUUUACACUUUCUGUUUUUGAUAUUAAAUGGCAACAUGAAAACGU